ensembl:lncRNA
CCAAUCCGAUAAAAUCCUAAGCCCCAGCCUCGACCUACUUUUCCACCCUCUCCUCCCCUCCCUCUUGGAGUUUCUCUUUUCCAAAGCUUCCCUGUCGAACUGGCAGCUUUACUCAGCCGACAGACAGCACCGGUGGUCAGGUGCUGACGGCAGGGCACUAACGGGACUUGAAUUACAUCUGGUAGAGGAGAGGGCAGGAGAGAGAUCUGGGACGUGCUGUGAAAAGAGGAAAGGGCCGGGAGGGAGCGCAGCCUCAGAGCAGGCCCCCGAGGAAGGGCGUGCCACCUGGUCCAACCCCGCCGCUUCCAUCACCUCCCGCUCUGCGGGGUAGCGAGCGUCCCAGGAGCUGGUGGCCAGAGCCCGUCUGCAGCUCAGCCCGCUAACUCUCCGCGCCUCCUGGCUCUGCCCUGGUAGAGCUCAGCUCUGGGCCCAUAUCCCACGCAGGCUUCGCUCAGUUCUGCGUCUCCGCCUGGGAGCAUCCCAGCCGUGGGCGGUAGGGGGUAGGAGGCACUGUGCCCUCGUCACUCCAGCGGGCAGGGCGGGGCCAAGUGCGCGCGGAUGCGUGGCGUCGGGAUGCUGGGACCCCCGAAAGCCAACCGCCCCCGUGGAGACGUAGGGUGGUUUCCGGAGCCCGAACACGGCCGGGCAAGUUAGGGACCCUCCGCCUCAGCACAGCCACGCGGUCUGUGGGCCAUUGUUACGGCAGCCCUGGAAACUGCUACAAUCUCCAGUCUCCAAGACAACUGCCGACUGAAGACAGUGAAGAACGGAACGGUCAGGACCCGGGCCAGGCUUUGCCCCGGGGGAGAGGACGUUCCCACGUGCUGGGACUUGCCUGAAACGCCCCGGGAGGGACGCACAGCCAGGAAGAGGCAGGAGCCAGGUCUUCCUCCUCACUGCACAGCCUGGGUUCCGCUUGCAUUUUUUACUUUUUACCACGUUAAUAAGGAAAUAAAUAAAAUUCAGAUCAGGGAGAAAACAAAAUGUCAAAAGACCCAUGUAAACCCGACACCUCUCCUAACCCUCCUCUCACCUGACUUGCUGUUUAACCAUCGGCCACAAGGGUGGGAGCGGGGACCCUGCCUUUAGCAUCUGCCUGGUCUCUUUCAGAGGAAAGAAAAAUGAGAGGCAGG